rnacentral:rRNA from 1 species
CAGUAGCCGCGGUAAAACCAGCACCUCAAGUGGUCAGGAGGUUUAUUGGGCCUAAAGCAUCCGUAGCCGGUUGCAUAAGUUUUCGGUUAAAUCUAUGCGCUUAACGUAUAGGCCGCCGAAAAUACUGUGCAGCUAGGGAGUGGGAGAGGUACACGGUACUCGAUAGGAAGGGGUAAAAUCCUUUGAUCUAUUGAUGACCACCUGUGGCGAAGGCGGUGUACCAGAACACGUUCGACGGUGAGGGAUGAAAGCUGGGGGAGCAAACCGGAUUAGAUACCCGGGUAGUCCCUGUCUCUUAUAU